rnacentral:rRNA from 1 species
AUGGAGAGGUACCUGAUGAUGGACAAUGACAUGCAAAUAAUGGCGAGUCGACACCACGUAAUCGACGGCAGGCAUCGUCACAUCCUCUCAUGUUAUUGGGUCCCUCCCUUUUGUACAGCCGGCCGGGGCUUGAGCAAAGCUAGCACCAGCAUCAGCUACCUGCCAAUGGUGCAAUGCAGCUUCAACCUAGCUAGCCUAGCUAAGAUUAUUACUACCACAUCAUGCAUACAUACAUACAUACAUACAUACUCCGUAUUACUACUAGCACAAAUACAUAUGAACCCUUGGCUUAUUACGUCGAUCUUGUUCGACCGGGGCUCGUACAACACUCGCCGGAUGCAACGGCCGGUGCUCUCCUUGUUGUCACCGCCGGCGCGAUCCGUUCGUCGCCGGCGCCGUGAAUGA